UAUGAAUCCAAGGAUUCCAAAUGGUAUAUAAUGACCAUAAUGUUGUAUUUUUCCCUUAGGAAAGCAACGGACUUCCGCGCUUCUAAUAGCCAGAGUGGUCCUAUUCCCCCUUCUGCUAGUUGGCUCUGUCCUAUUGUUUAGUUACAAGCUCAAACUAUUCUCUGCCUGUUGGACAUCCCAGCCACAACAAGAUUCUCCAAGUCAGGCUGCAAAUACUGACGUCUCAUAUGCAACGUUGAAGACAAGAUUAACACCAACAAACUAAAGCUGAUAAAGACCCUGUGACUUUGUUUACCGAAUGUUUGCCUAUAUGUGUUGGGGUUCUGGUUUCCCUAACAUGAUAAAACAAAAGAUGAAAAUGGAAGUAUUGUUAUGACAUUGAUUGUCUAAAAAACGUGGGGUCUAAACUACACCCAGAGCUUCAACCUGUUUUUUUUCCAUCUUGUAACCACAACAAAACCCAACCUGUAACCUUUACACCAGAUUUUGAUCGACUACUUUACUGUGUGCUGGAGAAAGGGAGAGUGACCCUAAGACAUGGGGAGAUGCUGAUGUUAAAUACCAAGCACAAUAUGUCAGUUUAAGCCAAAGCAAAAUAAACAUCUUCCCACCAAUACACAACCAAACCCUCCCAGCAUUGCCAAUCUCCUGGGGACACCCAACUAGUUUUAGUGCUCUAGUCAAAGCAGCAAUACUGCCUUAUAUUGUUCAAUCCCUUAUCCUCGGUUUUGGUGCAAAAUAUCAUGUUUUUGGUUUCAUAGCUAUUCUGUUCUUUUCCUCAACUAGACAUAGAAGCCUUUGCAAAAUUGUGCUUGCUAAAUAAAUAUUUUCUAUUUUUAUGGUUAUGAUUAUAUGGUAUGGAUUCAAAAAGCCAAGGAUCUUGUAUGAGUCAAGAAAACCAAUAUGGCAGAACCCAUUAAAAUAACCAUUAUGCGAUGA